AUUGUGUGGAGGCAACAUGAGUCAGGAGCAUUUCAUCUGAUUUACAGAGAAGUAAAGAGAAGUUGUUUACAUUUAGUCAUCCUCUGUAUCUGAAACAAGACUAUGUUUCUACCUUGUCUUUCUCAUGGUUCUUAGCCUAUGGCCGAAGCUUCCAUGCUUGAUUCUUCAAACAUCCAAUGCAGAUCCCUUUUCUCU